UUUGUUGGAGACUUGGAGGAAUAUAAGCUCAAGCUGUCAGGGAAAUGCAUUAUUUUAACAUUACAAGUUUUUUCUUACCAGUACUGGUUCUGUUUUUCAACUCACCGUCAUGAUUCUCCACCGUAUCAAAGACAAGUUUUAUGUACAACAUUUCAUAAACAAAACAGAAAAAAACUUACAAUGAAUAUCUUAUACAGCUCCUUUUCCCUAUGCAUGAAGCACUACAGGCUUGAUGGAAAAGUAGGAGUAUUUCAUGAGGAAAAAUUAAUAAUUUUUUCUAAGAGCAUCGCCAAAAUUAUAGGCGCGCGAUGUAUUUGA